rnacentral:tRNA from 1 species
GCAGUGGUAGUUCAGUGGUAGAAUUCUCACCUUCCAUGCGGGAGAUCUGGAUUCUAUCCCCAGCCAAUGCA